rnacentral:rRNA from 1 species
UGGGGAAUAUUGGACAAUGGGCGAAAGCCUGAUCCAGCAACGCCGCGUGAGGGAUGACGGCCUUCGGGUUGUAAACCUCUUUCAGCGGGGACGAAGCGAAAGUGACGGUACCCGCAGAAGAAGGACCGGCCAACUACGUGCCAGCAGCCGCGGUAACACGUAGGGUCCGAGCGUUGUCCGGAAUUAUCGGGCGUAAAGGGGUCGAAUGCGGUUUGGAGCGUCGGGAGUGAAAACACGGGGCUUAACACC